rnacentral:rRNA from 2 species
ACGCUGGCGGCAUGCCUUACACAUGCAAGUCGAACGGCAGCACGGGGGCAACCCUGGUGGCGAGUGGCGAACGGGUGAGUAAUACAUCGGAACGUGUCCUGUAGUGGGGGAUAGCCCGGCGAAAGCCGGAUUAAUACCGCAUACGAUCUACGGAAGAAAGCGGGGGAUCGCAAGACCUCGCGCUAUAGGGGCGGCCGAUGGCAGAUUAGCUAGUUGGUGGGGUAAAGGCCUACCAAGGCGACGAUCUGUAGCUGGUCUGAGAGGACGACCAGCCACACUGGGACUGAGACACGGCCCAGACUCCUACGGGAGGCAGCAGUGGGGAAUUUUGGACAAUGGGGGAAACCCUGAUCCAGCAAUGCCGCGUGUGUGAAGAAGGCCUUCGGGUUGUAAAGCACUUUUGUCCGGAAAGAAAACUUCUGCCCUAAUACGGUGGGAGGAUGACGGUAC